GGCCUCUGCCUGUCCCGUGGGGAGGCCGGAUCCUGGGCUGUGUCCCGGUGCCCUGUGUUCCGGGGCCUGCGCUGUUGGAUUUGUGCUCCCGCCCGCAGCCCCCUCCGCGGAGCCGCAGCCCGA
rnacentral:pre_miRNA from 1 species